rnacentral:rRNA from 1 species
UAACGCGUGAGUAACCUGCCUUGGAGUGGGGAAUAACAGAUGGAAACAUCUGCUAAUACCGCAUAAUACGUCUGUGUCGCAUGGCACUGGACGUCAAAGAUUUAUCGCUCUGAGAUGGACUCGCGUCUGAUUAGCUGGUUGGCGGGGUAACGGCCCACCAAGUCGACGAUCGGUAGCCGGACUGAGAGGUUGAACGGCCACAUUGGGACUGAGACACGGCCCAAACUCCUACGGAAGGCAGCAG